AGUGAACGCUGGCGGUAGGCCUAACACAUGCAAGUCGAACGGCAGCACAGGAGAGCUUGCUCUCUGGGUGGCGAGUGGCGGACGGGUGAGGAAUACAUCGGAAUCUACUCUGUCGUGGGGAUAACGUAGGGAAACUUACGCUAAUACCGCACACGACCUACGGGUGAAAGCAGGGGACCUUCGGGCCUUGCGCGAUUGAAUGAGCCGAUGUCGGAUUAGCUAGUUGGCGGGGUAAAGGCCCACCAAGGCGACGAUCCGUAGCUGGUCUGAGAGGAUGAUCAGCCACACUGGGACUGAGACACGGUCCAGACUCCUACGGGAGGCAGCAGUGGGGAAUAUUGGACAAUGGGCGCAAGCCUGAUCCAGCCAUACCGCGUGGGUGAAGAAGGCCUUCGGGUUGUAAAGCCCUUUUGUUGGGAAAGAAAUCCAGCUGGCUAAUAUCCGGUUGGGAUGACGGUACCCAAAGAAUAAGCACCGGCUAACUUCGUGCCAGCCGCCGCAGUAA
rnacentral:rRNA from 1 species